rnacentral:rRNA from 1 species
CCUACGGGAGGCAGCAGUGAGGAAUAUUGGUCAAUGGCCGAGAGGCUGAACCAGCCAAGUCGCGUGAGGGAAGACGGCCCUACGGGUUGUAAACCUCUUUUGUCGGGGAGCAAAGCGAACCACUUGUGGUUCAUUGAGAGUACCCUAAGAAAAAGCAUCGGCUCACUCCCUUCCAGCAGCCGCGGUAAUACGGGGGAUGCGAGCGUUAUCUGGAUUUAUUGGGUUUAAAGGGUGGGCAGGCGGAGGUGCAAGUCAGCGGUCAAAUUGCGGGGCUCAACCCCGUACUGCCGUUGAAACUGCAUCCCUUGAGUGCGCGAGAGGGAUGCGGAAUGCGUGGUGUAGCGGUGAAAUGCAUAGAGAUCACGAAGAACACCGAUGGCGAAGGCAGCAUACCGGCGCGCAACUGACGCUCAUGCACGAAAGCGUGGGUAUCGAACAGGAUUAGAUACCCCUGUAGUC